rnacentral:rRNA from 1 species
AUUGAACGCUGGCGGCAGGCCUAACACAUGCAAGUCGAGCGGAGCGGCGGACGGGUGAGUAAUGCCUGGGAAUCUGCCUGGUAGUGGGGGAUAACGUCCGGAAACGGGCGCUAAUACCGCAUACUAUCAGAUGAGACUAGGUCGGAUUAGCUAGUUGGUGGGGUAAAGGCCUACCAAGUCGACGAUCCGUAGCUGGUCUGAGAGGAUGAUCAGACACACGGGAACGUAGACACGGUCCAGACUCCGACGGGAGGCAGCAGUGGGGAAUAUUGGACAAUGGGCGAAAGCCUGAUCGAGCCAUGCCGCGUGUGUGAAGAAGGUCUUCGGAUUGUAAAGCACUUUAAGUUGGGAGGCGUUACCAACAGAAUAAGCACCGGCUAACUUCGUGCCAGCAGCCGCGGUAAUUC